UACGUAGGGUCCGAGCGUUGUCCGGAAUUAUUGGGCGUAAAGAGCUCGUAGGCGGUUUGUCGCGUCUGCUGUGAAAUCCCGAGGCUCAACCUCGGGCCUGCAGUGGGUACGGGCAGACUUGAGUGCGGUAGGGGAGAAUGGAAUUCCUGGUGUAGCGGUGGAAUGCGCAGAUAUCAGGAGGAACACCGAUGGCGAAGGCAGGUCUCUGGGCCACUACUGACGCUGAGAAGCGAAAGCAUGGGGAGCGAACAGG
rnacentral:rRNA from 1 species